AUUACCUUUAAUUAAGUCCAGAGAGGCUUUAAAAGGACCUAACAUCAUGUUUAAUUACUAUUAUGAUGCUUGGCAUCCUUAUGCCCUCUCGGAACUAUCGAGAGGGCUUUUGUUU
rfam:Bacillus coahuilensis p1.1.43 ABFP000024, whole genome shotgun sequence.